CUGAAGUUGCAGCCCUAUGCCCAGUCUUCGGUGGCCAACAGACCGUGCGCCAAGUUGGCAUACAAAUACUUCGGCCCGUUCACGGUGCUCGCCAAGAUCGGCAACCUCGCUUACAAGCUGGAGCUUCCAACGGACAACAAGAUCCACCCCGUCUUCCAUGUGUCGUAGCUCAAGCCCUUCACCCCCAAGUAUAUUCCAGUCUUCGCCGACCCGCCGCGGCCCCCGGACCUCGCCGGUACUGCCGAUGAGCCAAUGGAGAUCGUGGAACGCCGCAUGGUCAAGCACGGCAACAACGCUCUGGUGCAGGUCAGAAUUCAUUGGAAGAACGACGCCACGACCACGAUUUGGGAAGACUACGACACUCUUCGCCAUCGCUUUCCGCAAGCUUCAGUGUGGGAUGCACCGGCAGCCGGCGACAACGAUCACCAACAAACUACUGAAGACGGCGCCAGUUUUCAAGGGAUGGGGAAUGUCACACCUGCAUCACCAGUGGUGGAUGCAGUGGACGAGUGA
rnacentral:rRNA from 1 species